rnacentral:rRNA from 1 species
GACAGAGGUCCCAAGCGUUGUUCGGAUUCACUGGGCGUAAAGCGCGCGUAGGUGGUGCGGUAAGUCGGAUGUGAAAUCUCCAAGCUCAACUGGGAAAUGGCACUGGAAACUACCUUGCUGGAGGUUUGGAGGGGGGACUGGAAUUCUCGGUGUAGCAGUGAAAUGCGUAGACAUCGAGAGGAACACCAGUGGCGAAGGCGAGUCCCUGGACAAAACCUGACACUGAGGCACGAAAGCUAGGGGAGCAAACAGG